CUGACCCAAGCAGCAGAUGGGAGGGAGUGACUCACCACCCCACAGCCAAGUCACUGAAUCAUAGCAUUUAGAAGCAGAGGCGUGCCAUGAGACCAACUCUACGCUUCUCUACAUUUGUUCCUUCCUAGAAAAAGCGGGUUGGAGGUGUUCCCAGGAAAAUUCAGCCCCAGCUCAAAGCAAUAAAAAAGAUGUCUCUGA